GAGAAUAUGAGUGACUGACAUGAGCCUAGCGUAACGAGCGCAGUGAGCGUAGCCCAAGGCAGCGUAGCGGUACUUCUUGGUUGUGCUCUGUGGAAUAACAGAACUUACCCUUUGUUCAACAGUGGUUACUGACGCUGUGGUGCGCCUCGCUUUGCAAUGAAGUCGUUCCUAAAUCGCUUGUACAAGAAGAUCAAGUGGUAUUACUUCAUGUACGAUCUCCACACGUCCCUCUACAUGUUGGAGUCUUGGGAGAAGAGGGUAUUCAAUAUCGGGCUUGUAGCCGUUGUCGCCAUGUCAAGCUACACGACCUACGUCUUCUUGCCUCGUUACACACAGAAUGUGCUCCGUUACUUUGGGGUAGUUGAGUAGGCAACUGCACGGUGACCGACGUCGUGAAGAUGAAGUAAACUGCCUUGCCGCGUCUGCCCUCCUUUUCAAGUCGCCCGGAAGCCCAAAGAGUGCCUUGGAUUCCCGUUACUCCUGGCUGUUUGAUGCUUCCUCAAGAAGACCUUGUACAGUUCACGCUUGUAUUACUCGAGGAAUUAAAAUAGCGACGAAGAGACAGCGCUCUGUCGCAGUAAUCGACAUCGUGACCACCACUAAAUUUUGUAUUUGGGUCUCGUGAAGCAGCUAACAAAAUCAAUGCACGGUGUUCAUUUAUGUUCAUGCGUUUCGGUUUUGUGUAAUGUUUUUAAAUCUGGCAUGCAAAUUCUGGAGCAAAUUAACCAGUAGUCAUAAUGCUAUGCUCACAUCAGUCUGGUUUAAUUUAUGGCAUGAAAGAACUCUUGGUUUAAACAUUGUUUUAUUUAGUUGCGCUUCACAUCAUAUUAAUCGAUCAACUAUCUUGUCAGCUUGACAAUGUUUGUGCAGUAACACAGUCAUACUUCCAAGUUAACUGUUACACCAUUAAUGACUGCCAGUGUGGCUGGUGCUUUGCAUGCAUAUGUAUCAUACCUUGGUUGUUGUGCUAGUUGGUGCACGCAAACCAUGUGACCCUUCUUAUUUUUGUCUCGCAUGUGCCACACUUCUUAAAUUGUCAAUGUAGCCUUGGUUUAUUGUGUUAUAGAGGUGACUUCAUACUGG
rnacentral:lncRNA from 1 species